rnacentral:rRNA from 1 species
UACGUAGGGUGCAAGCGUUAAUCGGAAUUACUGGGCGUAAAGCGUGCGCAGGCGGUUUCGUAAGUCUGUCGUGAAAUCCCCGGGCUUAACCUGGGAAUGGCGAUGGAGACUGCGAGGCUAGAGUUUGGCAGAGGGGGGUAGAAUUCCACGUGUAGCAGUGAAAUGCGUAGAGAUCAGGAGGAACACCUGUGGUGUAGACAGCCUACUGGACGAUAACUGACGCUGAGGCACGAAAGCGUGGGUAGCAAACAGG